rnacentral:lncRNA from 1 species
CCCGCGCUCGCCAUCAACGCCACCAUCGAGAAGACGAAGAAGCGGUUCGAGAACUACGGCAAGUUCGGGCUGCUCUGCGGCGCCGACGGCCUGCCGCACCUCAUCGUCAGCGGCGACCAGCGGCACUGGGGCGAGUUCAUCACCCCCGGCCUGCUCUUCCUCUACAUCGCCGGGUGGAUCGGGUGGGUCGGCAGGAGCUACCUCAUCGCCAUCAGCGGCGAGAAGAAGCCCGCCAUGAGGGAGAUCAUCAUCGACGUCGAGCUCGCCACCCGCCUCCUCCCCAGGGGGUUCAUCUGGCCCG